GUUAUAUUGAAAAAUAAAGUGAUGUGACAUAUAGACAAAUUAUGGUCGUCGAAAGAAAAGAGUGUGUAAAAUAUACACUUCACUUUAGGUAUAUUUUUUAAUUAUUGAAAUAUCAUCCUUUUAUUGCACAAUAAUUUUUAAACAAAAUAAAAAAAAUUAAAUUAACUCUGAUAUCAUAUUAUCUAACAAAAAGAUAUAAUAUAAAACGGGCCCAGAAAUAUAUAUUAAUAAUUAAAAAAGUAAGGCGGUAAAAUAAUUAUUUAUUUAAAAAAUUUAAAUUUUUUAUUAGUCACAAAUUAAAAGUGUAAUAUAUAAGG
rnacentral:lncRNA from 1 species